AUCAAAAAAGGAAUUUACGGGGCGUACGCACGUAUAUGUCCAUAUUUAUGUGCGACCCUUUUUCAUAACUAAGAUUCGGACUUAAAAUUAUUUUACAUUUAAAACAAAUUCAGAAAAAACGCAAUAUAAACUUAGACAAAAACAAACACGAAGUUGUGCGGAAAGCCCUUAUAUGGAGAUGUUUGGGCGCGUUCUAUGCAAAUUACUACAUGCAGUCACACGCCCCCUCAUUUAUAAUUCACCAACACUGAACAAAGAGUAGGAGCAAGUGCUUGUGCGUAUGCACCUGUUGGGAUUCCUGUGGAAAUUUUGCACAAGAACUUUAGCUCUGCAGGUCCAUUCUGAAAUGCUGGUAAGCGUGUUUAUCAGGUCAGGAUGUUGAUUCAUCAGGGUUUUCCAAGAGGCAAAGCCAUCCUCCCAUUCCAAGGCCAAGAGGAAGAGCGCAUGGAACUUGGAGAUACUGUACGUUGUUCCCGCAUGUUUCCGAGUGUACAUUCCAGAUGAAGUAGGUCACCCUGCCCGGCUGCCUCUAAUAACACUGCUCUCUCUCUGAAUGAUCACUGUCAGCCAAUCGUAAUGAUCAGAUGCUUCAAUCAGCCAAUCAGAAACAUUAGACUAAUCAAAAUUUGUUAUACAAAAUACUUCAAAUGUUUGUGGACUGCAUUUUGAAUGUUCGUGUCAAGGAUAAUUACACAGAAGAAUGCACCAAA